UGGAUCCAAAAACUUUCCAUUUCCCAAGUCGCCAUGUUCUGUUAUCAAUACCUUUGAUGAUGGAAUGAAUUUAGAAAAAAAAUAAAAAAACAGCAUUUCAAUAUUGAUACAUCAUAAUUACACUCAUUUAAGCUUCUUCCUUAAAACUAUAAAACAAUCCUACUCCAAGCAUAUAUUUUAACCAUAUGGUACAACUAUUAAUACUUCAAAUGAGUUGACUAUACAGACAAUGACAUUACUCUCAUCCAGUGCAGAUCAGAUUUUCUCCCAAUAUAACUUCCAGCUACUGGUGAAAAAAAAUGCAACCUCUAAAAACACUGUUCAAGUGGGUUUGGUGGGUUUUCUGCUUUGAGAACUCUAACAGUUUACAAUGUCUGGUAUCAGACUCCAGUUCCUCAAAACUACAGAACUUGUGAGAACCUCCAAUCAGGGUGGUUACCUGAAUGGCUUUGGUCUGGUGCAAAUCCUCUUUGGUGUGUCCCCCACCUUGCCUCUGGGCCCACAGUCUUACCUACUUUGACGUAUCUGUUUCUUGCUUCUUAAAAACUACAUUGACAACUGAUUUUAAUUGACUUCCAAGUAUUUAAAAACAUACUUCAUUUCCAUAAAUUUAAAUAAUACAUCCACAAUGCAUAAUGUAUAAUCUGAUAUUUUGUGCUUUAUUUAAAAAAUUUCCCCUUUUCCUUCUCUUGUAAUUCUUCCAGUCUUUGACUCCUUAGCUAUGUCGGGACUUAUCCAUCCCUCUGAUAUAUAUCAUGCUAACAACACAGGAUAUACCUUUCUAAAUUUUUUUUCAUAGUCAUAAAAUCUUACAGAUAAAGAUAUACACAUGUCUAUACUUGCAUACACACAGAAUUUUUUGGUCAUUAUUUUACUACACUUGAUCUUAGCCAAAAGGCCGAGAAGCGACUGGUCAUUAUUUUAUAAGAAUGCAAUGAAAAUGUGUGUGUGUACGUACACACACACACACACACACACACACACACACACACACUCUUCUCUGCAUCUGGCUUCUUUCAAUAUAAACAUCCUAUGGAAAUCCCUCAAAGUCAAGUGAUAUAUUUCUCACCAUUCUUUUAAAUGGCUGCAUAAUGUCCCAUGACGUGAUUAUAACAUAAUUUAGUCUGCCAAUCCACUACUGAUGUGCCAUCUCUUUAUUUCUGGGCUGUUUCCUUUUUCGGGGAAAGGAGGAACACAUUAAAAAUGGUGAAAUAAGACUGGGUGUGGUAGCUCAUGCCUGUAAUCCUAGUGCUUUGGGAGGCCAAGGGGGCAGGAUAGCUUCAGCUCAGGAGGUUGAGACCAGCCCGGGCAACAUAGUAAGACCUCAUCUCUACAAAAAAAUUUUUUAAAAUUAGUCAGUCGUGGUGGCAUGUGCCUGUAGUCCCAGCUACUCAGCCCAGGAGAUUGAGGCUGCAGCGAGCUGUGAUUGUGUCACUGCACUCCAGCCUGGGUGACAGAGCAGGACCCUGACUCAAUAACAACAACAAAAAAGGUGAAAUGAGUAUUGCUGUACAUAUAUUUUAACAUACUGAUGUUUUUAUUUCCAUUGGAUCCUUUUAUUUCUAUUGAAUAAAUUCCCAAGCAGUGGUGGUAGGGACAUCAGGUAUUAUAAUUUUUAAUAUAUACUCCUGUGACAAUCCAAAUUUCUACACAUAUAUGAGAGUAUGUUUCCAUCCAUAUUACCACCAAUGAUAGGCACUAUAGCUCUUUUUUUAGUCUGAUGGUAGAAAAUAUAUCAUUUUAAUUCCACUGACUACUGAUAAAACUAAGUAUGGCUUUUCACAUUUGUGGGUCAUUUGCUCUUCUGUGAGCAAAUAUAAUAAAAUAUUUUUAUCUGGUGUCUUUUUCUUAUCAAUUUAUAAGAGUUCUUUAAGAUAGGCUUCAUUCUACAGUUAAAAACAUUUAUAGUAAAAUGUCCAUCUUUUAUACUUCCUGGGUAUCCAGUGUUAUUUAAGAUGGUCUCCCUAGCCCUGUAUUGCACAUGUAGACUCAGAUUUUCUUCUAAAAUGUUAGCCACUUUUCACAUUUUAAAACCACCUGAAAUCUAUUUCUGUAUACUGUAUGUGACAGAGGUCCAACUUAAUUUUCUUCUUAUAGAAACCAGUUAUGCCAAUAUCUGUAUAAAAUUUUUCAUAUAUUCUGAGACUAAAUUCUGGUUCUCCAUGCUGCUCUAAUGAUUUUUUGUCUACUCCAUACACCACCACAUUGACUUAACAUUGGCUGUAAAACAACUUGUACUAUCUGGUAAGGCAAUUCUCCCUCAUUGUGCUUAAUGGUUUUUUCAUAAAUAUAUACAUAUAUAUAUAUACACACAUACACACACACACACACACACACACACACACAUUUCUUCGUUAUUUCAAGCAUGUUUUUUUUUCCACAUAAACUUUAUGAAAAUAUUGACCAAUUAAAAAAAAACUGAUCAGGAUUCUAAUUCAAAUUUCAUCAAAUCCAUACAUUACUUUUAAAAUAAUUUAAUUUUCUAUCUAAGAAUGGAAUGUAGAGCACCUUUCCAUUGGUCAGAUCCUGUUUUAUGUGUUUCAAGAAGAGUAUCACUAUUUUCUUUCUUAACAGUUCAGGGGUACAUGUGCAGGUUUAUUAUAUAGGUAAACUUGUGUCAUGCAGGUGUUGCACAGAUUAUUUCAUCACCCAGGUAUUAAGCCUAGUACCCAUUAGUUAUUUUUCCUGAUCCUCUCCCUCCUCCCACCCUUCAUCCUCUGAUAGGUCCCAGUGUGUUUUGUUCCCCUCUAUGUGUCAUGUGUUCUCAUCAUUAUCUCCCACUAAUAAGUGAGAACAUGUGAUAUUUGAUUUUCUGCUAAGAUAUUUUAUUAGUCUGCUAAGAAUAAUGGCCUUCAGCUCCAUCCAUGUUCUUGCAAAGGACAUAAAGCUUGUUCUUUUUCACGGCUGCAUAGUAUUCUAUGGUGUAUAUAUGCCACAUUUUCUUCACCUAGUCUAUCAUCACUGAUAUUUAGAUUGAUUCCACGUCUUUGCUAUUGUGAAUAGUGCUGUAAUGAACAUAUGUGAGCAUGUUUCUUUAUAAUAGAAUGAUUUCUGUUCCUUUGGGUAUAUAACCAGUAAUGGGAUUGCUGGGUCAAAUGGUAAUUCCGUUUUUAGAUCUCUGAGGAAUCGCCACACUGUCUUCUAUAAUAGUUGAAUAUACACUCCCACCAACAGUGUAUAAGCAUUCCUUUUGCUCCGUAACCUCACCAGCAUCUGUUAUUUUUUGACUUUCUAAUAAUAGCCAUUCUGAUUGGUUUGAAAUGGUAUCUCAUUGUGGUUCUGAUUUGCAUUUUUCUAAUUAUCAGUGAUGGUGAUCUUUUUUCUCAUAUGCUUGUUUGGCCUCAAGUAUGUCUGCUUUGGAAAAGUGUCUGUUCAUAUCCUUUGCCCACUUUUUAAUGCGCUUGUUUUUAUCUUUUAAAUUUAAGUUCUUUAUAGAUGCUGGAUUUAAACCUUUGUCAGAGGCAUAAUUUGCAAAAUUUGUCUCCCAUUCUGUAGGUUGUCUGUUUACUCUGUUGAUAGUAUCCUUUGCUGUGCAGAAGCUCUUUAAUUAUAUCCCAUGUGUCAGUUUUUGCUUUUGUUGCUUGAGAAGACCGUCACUAUUUUCUUCAUAAUCGUAUGCCUUUUUUUGAUGAAGCUUAUUCCUAAUCUGUAACUUUUACCAUCAUUUUAAAUUGAAUUCCCUGGCCCACUCUGACCCCCACCAUUUCUAGUUUCAGGUCCUUACUUGCUGUAAUAAAGGACAACUCAUGAGUUUUGUAUCCUUACCUUAAAUUCAGACAUCUCCCCAAAUUCUUUUAUUAAUUCUAAUAGCUUUUUUUUUUUUGGUUGGGAGUUAUAUUAUUAGAAUCUCUUGGUAUUCCUAAAUAUAUAAAUCAUGUCACAAAUAAGUUUUCUUUUCCAAAUUUUACAAGUUCUCAUGUUUUUGUCUUAUUUGCUACAUCUCCAUUUAUGAUAAAUGAUAAUGCUGAUAAGCAGGCAUACCUAGCUAAUUUUACAUUUUAACUAAAAUUAUUUUAAUGUUUUAGUUUAUGACAUUUACUAUUAAUUUUUGUUAAAGUGUUUCAUAUUUAAGAGGUUUUCUUCGAUUCUCUAUUUUACUAGAAUUUUUAUUUUUAAUGAGAAAAUGGCUACUGAAUUUCUCAAAUCUCUUUUUACUGUCUAUUGAUACAUCAUAAGAUUUUUCUCUUUAUUAAUAUGUAAGACCAAUAUGUCUUACAUGGAACCAUUUUUGCAUUUCUGUAAAAAUUCUGUUUAGUUUUGGUAUAUUAUUCUUUGGAUAUAUCUCUAAAUCCUAUUUGUUAGUAUCUUACUUAAAGUUUUAAAAUCUAUAGUCCAUGUGAAGUUAGUAUACUGUUUACCUUUUUUGUUUUAUCUUUUUAGUUUUAAAUAUUUAAUAUUAAAAUUACACUAGGUUCAUAAAGUGACUUUGGAGGCUAUCUAACAUUUUUAAAAGACACAGCAAAUUUUCUUAUAGCAAUUUAUCCCAAAAAAAUUGUUAAUAUAAGAGGUACAAAGAUGUUUAAUAUGGCAUUAUUUAUAGUAGUAAAGAAAAAGCAAAAAAAAAAAACCCAAAUCUUCCCAGAGAUAAAAUAAAUUUUGCAGAUUAAUACAAUGACACUCUACAUAGCUUUGUAUAUACACACACAUAUCUAUAAAUAAGCUUAAAAUUUCCCUUCAGUUACAAGUCACCUUCUAGCCUAGUCUUUGCUUGUCCCCCGUAACUAUGACUACAUAUUACGUAACGACUAAUGCCAAAUAAAAGCUUUGACAUGAUUAGCCACUAAGAACUUUCUCUUAUGUUCUUUCUUAACCACUUUCGCUUAUGUUCUACCUACCAGUUCUUCUUCAUAGUGUUUUACAUAAGCUGUCCUUCAUGCAAGCAUGAAAUGCAUUCAUAUAAUCACUAUUUAUUAGAAACUCUAAAUAAAAAAAAAAUGCUAGUGACCUUUUGUGGCUUUUCUUAGCUUAGCAAAUCUAACUUGUAGUUUGGAAAGAAGAGAUUUAAUAAUCACUAAAUGCUAAAUUACUCACAUGAAGAACUACAGAAUUCCAGAGCAACCAAAUUAUGAUAUAAAUCUACUACACAUAUAUUCUAGACUUUGGAUUAAUAUGGGAUUGAUUUUUUUCCCAGAAAAAAAUAAGAAAGUAGAUUUACAGUAAUCAUUUACUAAAAUCUUAAAUGAACUACAUCUGAGUAUUUCUAAAAGGGACUUUCUGCUAAUAGUAUUACUGGUAUCACCAAAAGAAAGUAAAACUUCAAUUACUUUGCCCAUAAGUGGUUAUGAUUAAAAUAUGAAUAAUUUUUUAUCUUGCAGCAUACCACUUCACAGCUCUUGCAGGAUACCUUAACGGUUAUAAACAAAACAAAGAAUAGUGUUUAUAUGAAACAUACCUGAUCUUCAUAACCUUCAAUUUUUACUGGAGUAAACUGGUCCAAGUUAUACUGUGCAAAUGCACUAAAAAAAAGAAAAUGGCAAUUACUUAAAAUUAUAUAUUUAAUGUUUUUUAAAAACAAUGGUCAAAAAAUUCACCCAUCAAUAAAGUCUCCUCCUACAUUGCACACUGCAAAAUAAAUAAAAUUGUAAUUCUCCAUUACUGAACUUAUACUAACUACAAAUAAUGACAUGCCUAUUUUAAAAACUGAACAAUGAUGUCCAGCUUUCAAUGUUUAGCAAAAUAAAAUUAAAUCAGUAAAUAUAACUGGCCUUUUCAUUCAAGAACCUGAAAAUAAAGGUUAGUUACUGAUAAGAGAUGCAUCCAAUUGUUCAAGUAUAUAUUUAGUAUACCAGGAAACAGACUAGGUGCUGUAAGAGAUGCAAAGAAUACUUAGAUACAUUCUCUGAUCAAAGGCCUACAGGUGAAUAAAAGAGAAAAUGGAUAAACAUAACCAUAACACAAAGUAUGAAGCAUAGUAAGAGAAUUACCAAUGAAGCACUGCAAAGAAUGCUUAAAAAAAAAAAAAGAUUACAUUCUGUUGAGGCAACAGUGAGAAGAGAAGAGAAUUGGGGUAAUUUCUUAAUAACUGUGAUACUGAAAAACCGACUUGAAAAACUGGAUAGGCUCUGGUUUAUGGAAAUUGGAGGGAUGGGCAGAAAAGAGCAGAGUGACCGUAUGAGCAAAAUGCCUGAGAAAAUAAGUUAGGUCCAACAUCACAGAAAGCACCAAGCUCAAUGCCUGGCUCAUAGCGGGUGUUCAGUUAUACUUACUGAAAUGAACUGAAAGGCUCUGAAUGAUGGAAUAAUUAUUUGGGAGACAGAGCAGAGUUACAGAAGCUUUUUGAGAAAGGAGAACACAGAAGUACUUCUAAAGAAGAUUAAUUUGGCAGCAGUGUAGAUGAUGAAUUGGGCAGUGGAGCAACGAGAGCCAGAAAAAGCAGUUAGGCAGUUGCUAAGGUUAAAAACCGCAGAGUGUGAGGUAGGAAAUGGUGACGAGAUGGAUCCAAGAAUAAAGCUACUCUCUAUCUACUCCAUAAGAGUAAAGAAUAAUACAUUACCAUAUAUAUGUAUAGAAAAAAUUCUCAAGAGUAUAAAAUAUUAUCUAAAAAUUGUAUUUUUAAAUUAAAUCUAAAAUCUGGGAAAUCACUGUCACUUAACAGAAAGGAUACUGAGAAUUUCCAAACUCAGAAAUACAUCUCUAAUCUACUUGGAAACUUCCAGAUUAUUCGGGAUGGCCAGGCGUCCACUGAAUUUUCAGGUAUUAGCUCCUGAGUCUCCUCUAGAAAGGAAAGCCUGGUUGAACAAAGCAUUACUGAUGAGUUAAUAGGAGACUAGUAAAUGUAAAAAUAGCAAAGUAGAAUUAAAUUAUUAGCUGUCAAAUUCUUGAUACUACAUGCUCAAAAAAGAUGACAUUGAAUACAGAAGUGUACAAGGGUGAGAAAGAAAAAAGAAGCUAUUCACUUCUCAUUUUCCUAAUUCACGAAAACUGUAAUUUUCCUAAGAAUAAACUCAAUACAGCCAGGGCAUUAUUAAUCCUUAAAUGAUUUAUCCCAAAAGUAUGUUUAAAACCAAGUCAAUUAGAAUUUUGGAUUCAUUUUCCAGUAAGGUCAUAUUUAAAUAAGUUUAAACAGUAAAUUGGGCCCAGGCUGGACUGAAAGCCUUUUAUUGCCCGUAAUAUAAAACGCCAUCCACCUCUAACUUGGGAGGAGGGGAUAAAGGAAAAAUAGGAAAUCUGAAAAGGAGACAAGUAAUAUGAAAUAGGUUAAAAUUUUAUCUUAAAGGCUCAAAAUAAGUUAAAUGGUGACAAUUACACAGUACAGUGGAAAAGGUACUCAUCUAGGAGUGAUAAUAUCCAAAUUUUGCUUCAACCAUAUCAUUAACCAGUACAGGCCACCUCACUUACUUUAUAGAUACAAAAACAGUAGUUUGGACCAGAUAAAUUCAAGUGUCUUCAGGUCAUAAAACUCACUUCAUGCACCCACUCAUCAUUCCUUCAUCCACCCCUCCAUCUAUGCAAAUACUUACUGAGCUCUUAUUACUAUAAGCUAAGCAUUCUACUAGACACGGUAAAAACAAUGUUCUCCCUGCUCUUGCAGAAUUCUGUCGCCCAAUCAAUUUCUAAGUCACCUGUUACUGUAUUUAGAUUUUUAUACCCUUUCCAUCAAGUUGUAUCUUAUACUUUUCUCCAUGCUCUUCCCUAAGUUUAGCCACAUCAUUUUUCUUACUAUUAAAAUCCUGUUCAUUUAAAACAGCUCAAAAACCACCUCUAAAUAGAAAUUCAAAAUUUCUUCCUUUGGGUUAUAAAGCCCUUUCACAUGCCUCUAUUGUAUUUCGUUUCACUUGGUCUAAUAUUAAACAUGUCUGACUCUCCACUGGAAAAUCCCUAAAAGGCUUAUUUAUCUCAUCAUCACAGCAAAGUCUAGCAAUGUCUGUUGAAUAAAAAGCUAUUUCUGGAUGUUUCAAAGUGUUCUUGACUUGACAAUACCAACUCUUCAGUAUGGCUAAUUUUGCUCUGAAACAUACUGAGUUGGUAGCUUUUUGUAAAGAUGUCCCAUUACAACCACUCUAAAGAAUAAUUGUCAUGUUUUCCCCACUACAAAAACGGUAAAGGGCAAAGAAAAAAAAAGGAGAUAAAGCAACAAGGCAAAGGUGGAGGAAAGGAGGAAACAUACAUAUAUGUGGGAAAGAUGUAUUUGUAUAAAAGAAAUUCAACAUCAAAAAGUGCAAGUGAAAAAGAAACAGUCUAUAGCUAUACACUUACCCUAGUGAAACUGCCACUGGAACACAUUCUAAAUGUUUUUAUAAUGCCUUCUAAGCUUUUGUUACGUAGUUUUGGAUGGCCUCAAUGAUAGGUAACAAAUUAUUAUCUUUUGAGGACAAAAGUAAUUCAGAACUAAGUGGGAUGAAGAACAGGGUAACACUACUUUUGCUCAGAAAUUAUUUCACAGAGAGGACACUGUGAACCAGAGUAAUAGCAUUCUAAAGUCAAGUCAAUCAGUGACUUACAGUAUAUAUUCUGUACUUCACAGACACCCAGAGAUGUCUACAACAUGAACUCAAAUGGAGAGUUUUGAGAAAUUGCAUACUACUGAAGUCAAUCAAACUAUUUUUUUUUUUUUACUAGUAAGCAAACAUUCACUGAGAUUAUAACUACAUGCAAAGAAAAUCUGAAGUUUCUAGUAAAGGUUUUGAUGAGUUUUUUCUGAGGGUCAUACUAUAAGCAUCAUAUUUUAUCACAAUUACCGAUGUCCUCAAAUACUCGUUUACUUAAAAGAUCAGAAUAUCAUGUAUUUCCUGUUACAAUGCACAUGAAGUGUGGAUCACAGCUGUUCCAGAAAUUUGGUUUAUAAUAAAAGAGAAAUGAAGCUCAUCUUCAAAUUUCUCUUACAACAAAUAUAAUUUAUUUAAAUUAAAUCUAACAAUCAUUAACAGAUCAAUAAUUCUUUGGACAAAUAAAAGUCCCAUACUUUCACGUAUCUUGAGUCAAAUGUAUAACUAUUUCAUGCUAUUUAUAUAAAUAUGAAUAGUACUCUGACUUACCAAGUUUCUCAUUUCUUGACUUAAAAAAAAUCCACUCAUUUUUGCACCACAUGAAACCCACAACUUAUUUAACAUAGAGAACACAAAGGAAAAGCUUACUUUGAAAGUAUUGUUCAAAAACGCUGUAUGUUUCCUUUGCAUCCAUAAGACUUUUCUCAACAUGUUUUAUAUUAUUAUAAAGAAAAUUAAUUUUACUUUAAUAUAUAAAAAGUUUCAAUAAGCUUUAAAAUAUUUAGGAGCAAGUGGUCAUUUACUCAUAAAUUGUUAACUAAAACCAAAAGGAUAAACUACACUGAUUCCUAUGAAGCACUUUAAUAUAAUUAAUGGGUGGGAGCAACUCAAGUGUCCAUUGGAAGAUAAACGGAUAAACAAAAUGUGCUAUACAGAUACAACAGAAUAUUAUUAGCCCUAAAAAGGAAGGAAAUUCUGACACAUGCUACAAUAUGGAUAAACUUUGAAGAUAUUAGGCUAAGUAAAAUAGACCAGUCACAAAAGGCAAAUACUAUAAGAUUCUACUUAUAAGAGGUACCUAGGUUGUCAAAUUCAUAGGUAGUUGAAUAAUGGUUGCCUGGGGCUUUCAAGUAUCAGCUUAAAAAGAUGAAAAAAGUACUGAAAAUGGAUGGUGGCUAUGAUUACAUAACAAUAUAAAGGUAUUAAAGCCACUGAUCUGUACACUUAAUGGGUAAAAUAGUAUGUUUUAUGUGUAUUUUUCCACAAUUAAAAAACUGCUAUAAAUAACAGAAAUUUUAAUCACAAGCAAAAGCAGAUAUGCCCACAAGUCUGUUGAACCUCUACCUUCAUAAAGGCCAUUUUUUAUUUUUUAAAGGCUUCAAAUGUUCUAACAAUAAAAUCAGAGAAAUUUUCCCUGUCAGAUUUUUUUUUUUUUUUUUUUGAGACGGAGUCUUGCUCUGUCACCAGGCUGGAGUGCAGUGGCGCCAUCUCGGCUUGCUGCAACCUCUGCCUCCUGGGUUCAAGCGAUUCUCCUGCCUCAGCCUCCCAAGUAGCUGGGACUACAGGAAUGUGCCACCAUGCUCAGCUAAUUUUUCUAUUUUUAGUAGAGACGGGAUUUCACCAUGUUGGUCAGGAUGGUCUCAAUCUCUUGACCUCGUAAUCCGCCUGCCUCGGCCUCCCAAAGUGCUGGGAUUACAGGCGUGAGCCACCGCACCCAGCCAUCAGUCAGGAUUUUACAUAUUGGGUAUUAUACUAGGAUGAAAAGUAACUGACUGGAUGGAUACUAAACUUUCUUUGUAAGAAAGAAUGCACUACUUCAUCAUUUUCAAAUGAGUAGUAGAAUCGGUAAGCCUAAAAUAACAGUCUCUAGACCUUAUUUUGGGAGAAGUAGGGAGAGAAUCAAUUAUUUCUCUGAAAUUGCAGGAUAGCUGCGAAAAGUCAUGGCUGGGGUCACUGGUGCAAAGACGAUGUAUUAAGAUUUAGAAUUGCCUACUUCUUUAAAUCACUCAAAAAUUCAGUGUACAUGUAUGUGUCAGGUACUACGUUAGGCAUUUAUGAGUAAAUAAACUCACAACUUUAAAAGCUCUCAAAAGCUAUUAGGGUCAAACAUAAAAGAAAAUGCAAAAUCUACAUAAAAAUGGUAGCAACCACAAUUUCUUCCAACUUUGCAAAUGCCAAAAUACAGUAUUAACUGAAUGUAUAAGGCACCGCUAGACACACAGUGAAUAAUUUCAUGUCAUAGUUGUACCUCUAAGUCCUUCUGUGAUAAAAAAUAUUUUUCUCCUACCCUGGCUAGGAUAUAUAAAAUCAUACACAUUUGAACUUGAUGUGCAAAUAUCUAUGUCAGAGAUUAGUGCUUUAAAAACACUUUUAGGCCGGAUGUGGUGGCUCACGCCUGUAAUCCCAGAGCUCUGGGAGGCUGAGGCAGGUGGAUCACGAGGUCAGGAAUUC
rnacentral:lncRNA from 10 species